rfam:Candidatus Daviesbacteria bacterium RIFCSPHIGHO2_01_FTLL_41_23 rifcsphigho2_01_scaffold_95, whole genome shotgun sequence.
GGAGAGGUCGCAUAGUGGCCUAGUGCGGCGCAGUGCUAAUGCGCUGUCCCCGUAAGGGGACCGAGGGUUCAAAUCCCUCCCUCUCCG